rnacentral:rRNA from 1 species
UACGUAGGUGGCAAGCGUUGUCCGGAUUUAUUGGGUUUAAAGGGUGCGUAGGCGGCCUGAUAAGUUAGGAGUGAAAUCGUGCCGCUUAACGGUAUACUCGCCAUUAAUACUGUCGGGCUUGAGUAAGUGUAAGGGAGAUGGAAUGCGUGGUGUAGCGGUGAAAUGCAUAGAUAUCACGCAGAACGCCGAUUGCGAAGGCAGUUUUCUGGUACUUAACUGACGCUGAGGCACGAAAGCGUGGGUAGCGAACAGG